rnacentral:rRNA from 1 species
UACGAAGGGGGCUAGCGUUGCUCGGAAUUACUGGGCGUAAAGCGCACGUAGGCGGCUCUUUAAGUCGGAGGUGAAAUCCUGGAGCUCAACUCCAGAACUGCCUUCGAUACUGUAGAGCUUGAGUUCGGGAGAGGUGAGUGGAACUGCGAGUGUAGAGGUGAAAUUCGUAGAUAUUCGCAAGAACACCAGUGGCGAAGGCGGCUCACUGGCCCGAUACUGACGCUGAGGAGCGAAAGCGUGGGGAGCGAACAGG